AACGAACGCUGACGGAAUGCCUAACACAUGCAAGUCGAACGAAGUCUUCGGACUUAGUGGCGCACGGGUGCGUAACGCGUGUGAAUCUGCCCUUGGGUACGGAAUAACUCAGAGACAUUCGUGCUAAUACCGUAUAAUGUCUUCGGACCAAAGAUUUAUCGCCCAAGGAUGAGCCCGCGUGAGAUUAGGUAGUUGGUGGGGUAAAAGCCUACCAAGUCGACUAUCUUUAGCUGGUCUGAGAGGAUGAUCAGCCACACUGGGACUGAGACACGGGCCAGACUCCUACGGGAGGAAGCAGGGGGGAAAAUUGGAGAAUGGUCGGAAGCCUGAUCCAGCAAUGCCGCGUGAGUGAUGAAGGCCUUAGGGUUAUAAAGCUCUUUUACCAGGGAUGAUAAUGACAGUACCUGGGGAAUAAGCUCCGGCUAUCUCCGUGCCAGCCGCCGCGGUAAAAC
rnacentral:rRNA from 1 species